rnacentral:lncRNA from 1 species
UGAUGUAGAGGUAGAUGACAAAUGUCACAAACCCCAAAGCUUUUCAAAGAAAAAAACAGCCUAAGACAGAAGUGAACGUUAGUACUGUGGCAGCAGAUCAGUUCAAGGAUCCAUCUUUUCCAGUGUGUUGUCCCCACCACCAGCCACCAGCAGUUCCUCAAGGAAAGGGAGCAUACAUCCUUCUGCUGGAAUGCCUCCUCUGCUUCCAGUGACAACUUUUUGGCAACUUCAGGGCCAUGUAACUACAACCACACCACCAUUUUAACAGACUGAUCCUUGUUUGAACUCAUCUACCUGCUGGCCUCCCCGGCAUGCUGCAGCAAUGAGUUCUACCAUAUAAAUGUGCACUUUGUACUUCUUUUGAACUCUCACGCUUGAUGGCUGAUCAUUUUCCUUAGACCUUGUACAACCAGUAAAAAAAAGUCACUCUAUUUUUAUUUUCCUCAGAAAUAUUUUUCUCUUUCCUCAUAGAAAAGAUCCCUUUGUCUGUGUACAACUAUCCAGAUAUCAGGAAGGAGGAUAACAGCCUACACCAGAAGUACUCAACCAGCUAACAUCCAUGUGGUCAGGAGCAGAGAAAGCAGGACUAAUAACUGACAUCAUUUCUGAACAGGCUGGGAGAGCCCCUUGACACCUGCAACCAUCUCACAGUAGAAACUGGCUCAAGUAGGAAAAGGUGACCCGACUGCUCUGACUAUUAUGAAGGCAGAGUCUUUCAGAGCCUGCAUCAAACUGUGAUUUGCACUUCUGUAUCAGUGAGAAAUGAAAUGCUGUUAUUUUCUUGUGUUCAUGGGUUACCCCCUGCCACCAUGAGAGUGCUGGAUGGGGAAGGCAGCCUGACCCAUACAAGACAAGCACUUUUUCUGGAACACAGAGGCUGUGACUGCCUCAGCAAAGCUCAAAAGUAUCCCUGUAUCCAGGAAAUAAGUUUAAUUGGAGAGACUGAAUUCACAUGGAAACUUUCAGAUUUAUAAGCUUAACUAUUCAUAUUUGUUUACCUCCCCGGCACUGAAGAAUGAAGAAACACACCUAUAAACCAAGCAGAAACUACCAAACUGUUGCAAUAAAAAGGGGUUUUAAGAGCA